rnacentral:rRNA from 1 species
UACGUAGGGGGCUAGCGUUGUCCGGAAUCAUUGGGCGUAAAGAGCGUGUAGGCGGCCCGGUAAGUCCGCUGUGAAAGUCGGGGGCUCAACCCUCGAAUGCCGGUGGAUACUGUCGGGCUAGAGUGCGGAAGAGGCGAGUGGAAUUCCUGGUGUAGCGGUGAAAUGCGUAGAUAUCGGAAGGAACAUCAGUGGCGAAAGCGGCUUCCUGGACCAGUACCGACGUUCAGGCACGAAAGCGUGGGGAGCAAACAGG